GGGAGUUUGGCCGAGCGGUUAAGGCGCUAGAUUAAGGUUCUAGUGGGGCAACCCGCGUGAGUUCGAAUCUCACAGCUCUCA